GACAGAGGGUGCAACCGUUGUUCGGAUUUACUGGGCGUAAAGCGCGUGUAGGCGGCUUGGCAAGUUGGAUGUGAAAGCCCACGGCUCAACCGUGGAAGCGCAUCCAAAACUGCUUCGCUCGAGUCUCGGAGAGGAAGGUGGAAUGCUUGGUGUAGAGGUGAAAUUCGUAGAUAUCAAGCAGAACACCUGCGGCGAAGGCGGCCUUCUGGACGAUGACUGACGCUGAGACGCGAAAGCGUGGGGAGCAAACAGG
rnacentral:rRNA from 1 species